UAAGCAUAUUACUAAGCGGAGGAAAAGAAACUAACUAGGAUUCCCCCCAGUAACUGCGAGUGAAGAGGGAAGAGCUCAUCAUUGGAAUCUGGCGGUGUCUUGCACCGUCCGAGUUGUAGAUGAGAUGAGUAGGCCAUCUGGACUGCAUGAUAUCCAAGUACAAUAGGCCGUCAGUGGGACAUCAUAGAGGGUGACAAUCCCGUCUUUGAUAUCAAUGUACGAGUCCUAUACGAUGCCUAUCUCUACAGAGUCGAGUAGUUUGGGAUUUGCUGCUCUAAUGUGGGAGGUAGAUUCCUUCUAAAGCUAAAUAUUGGCAAGAGACCGAUAGAGAACAAGUACCGCAAGGGAAAGAUGAAAUAGAACUCUGUAAAGGGAGUCAAAAGUCGUGAAAUUGUUGCGAGAGAAGCGAUUCAAGUCAGCUUAGCUAGGCCCAUCAAGCUACCAUACUUUGGACUAGCUUUGCCAGCAGUCUUAUCCUUUAGCGGUUUGACUCCUCCCAGGUUUUCAUCCUGUGUGCUGGUGGAAUGGCUUGCAAUCGACCCGUCUUGAAACACGGACCAAGGAGUCUAACAUGUAUGCGAGUAUAAGGGUGACAAACCCGUAUGCGCAAUGAAAGUAACUUUCGGUGAUUGCUGAAUGACCUGACGACCAUGCACGAAAUAUUUAUGCACCUCAAACGGUCAUCGCCCAAGUUCCGUGGUAUUAUCCCAUGAACAUGGAGACCCAGCAUACAUGCUAGGACCCGAAAGAUGGUGAACUAUGCCUGGGCAAAGUGAAGCCAGGGGAAACUCUGGUGGAGGCUUGCAGCGAUUCUGACGUGCAAAUCGAUCGUCUGACCUGGGUAUAGGGGCGAAAGACUAAUCGAACCAUCUCAUAGCUGGUUCCUGCCGAA
rnacentral:rRNA from 1 species